GGCUUUCUUUGCGGCGGAGUUGGACCGCCCACACAGGUGAAGGUCGAAUCUAUCGACCGACACACGGGUGAACACGGCGUCCAACCGAUCUGCGAUACGUUGAAAGACACCGACGUCGCGAUCGCGCCG
rfam:Rhodococcus erythropolis PR4 plasmid pREL1 DNA, complete genome.